rnacentral:rRNA from 1 species
UACGGGGGGGGCAAGCGUUGUUCGGAAUUACUGGGCGUAAAGGGCUCGUAGGUGGCCAACUAAGUCAUACGUGAAAUCCCUCGGCUUAACCGGGGAACUGCGUCUGAUACUGGAUGGCUUGAGGUUGGGAGAGGGAUGCGGAAUUCCAGGUGUAGCGGUGAAAUGCGUAGAUAUCGAGAGGAACACCUGCGGCGAAGGCGGGUAGCUGGGCCGACACUGACGCUGAGGCGCGAAAGCCAGGGGAGCGAACGGG